CAGGCAACAACGAUCCAGAAACCCCCUGCCACUACAACAGCACCAAUGAAGGCGCAAGUGAUCAUGCCCUCUUUUGAUCAUGAAUGGCCAACACUUGCAGAGAGAGGUACUUAAGAUUUACACACACACAAUACUUAUACAAUAAAAAGUAGUAAUAUUGCUUAAGAGGUACAGUAAUAGAAAAAUUAACAUAAAACCUUUUAAUGACAUUUUCUUUCAGACAUCUCGGAUUCAUCCAAAAGGCUCACGUGGCACACGGAUGUCUCAUCGUAUUCAGGUGAAUAAUCAUUCAAAUAAACUAAAUCAGUUUUGUUGCCUUUAUUUGAAACCUUUGGAUUACAAUAAUUCCUUACAGAAGUACCUGAAGGACUGCAGUGUGGUCCUUCAAAAGCUGAAAGUGAAAACUGGUGAUGCCAAUUUGCCAUCACCAGCCCCCAGUGGCGAAACGUAUGCAGCUGCUGUCCAAGACCGAUCUGUUUCAUGCACAGAUGUCUCCAAGGACCAGCUUUGCUGUCACUCCCAGGCGCAUUUGAAAGACUGCUGAGGUUCUCCACCAUCUCCAGAUGAACAAGGACAAAUGCAGUGUUCCAUCGCCUGUACCAAAAGGCAAAAUGAACACAAUGCUCUCAAAGACAUAGGACCUGUUGACCUAGGAGAUGCUACAAAGCAACAGGAAUGUGAAAGGAGACAAAUGUUCAACCUGAGAAGUUCCUUGAUGCUCCUGGUGCUGCAGCUUCAAGUGUUACCAUUGCAUUUUCCUCAUCAAAUCAAGAAAGUUUGAACAGUUUUCAUUCUAUUGUCAAAGGUUCAUUUCAUCAAGGUCAUAAAGCGUUUUGGGUGCAACCGAUUUAAACGGUGUGCACCAAACAGCAUUACAGCCAUUAUGACAAACACUGUGAAAAUGGCUUCCACAUGGUCAAGAAAAGACAUUAACAAUAUCUUGAUAAGUGGUGAUAGUUUACACGUACAUGAAAGAGCAAAACAUGAUCAGUGCUGCAGAAGGCAGUGGUUAUGAUUUUGUUCAAGAAUUACCCACAGAGCACACAUUCCAUCAUCACAAGUUCUCUUUGGAAUACAUGCAGACCUUCACAGGACAUCAUCAUCAGCAGAUUUACCAUGAAGAUGUUUCAGAUUUUGCCAUGCCUUUGGACAUUGCAUUACAGAGAGCUUUAUUUGUUCUUUCAUAACUGCACAUGUUUCUACUAAUUGUAAACAGCCAUCAUUGUCAAUCUCAGUUUUCAGCAUUUGCUGGACAAAAACAAGGACAGAACAGGGAAUGCGUUUGUUGGCUUUCAAAAUGUUUAAAAGUUGUAAAAUGUUUUACUAUUUUGUUUGCCCAAGCAGGGGCUCUAGGUGCUGUUUCUGUAUUGGGUUAUUGCACUGUUAGUAGGGUAACAAAGAAAAAUAACCCUUAUUUAAUACAAUUUUAAACUUUAUCUGCCUAUUUUAUUUAUUUUAGCCUUAAAAAAUGUAAAUGUUACUACCACUUUGUCUGAA